rnacentral:rRNA from 1 species
AGGACGAACGCUGGCGGCGUGCUUAACACAUGCAAGUCGAACGAGAUCCAUUUGGUGGUAACACCAGAGAAGAUCUAGUGGCGAACGGGUGAGUAACACGUGAGCAACCUACCCCGAAGAUUGGGAUAACACCGGGAAACCGAUGCUAAUACCGAAUACCCCCACCGGGUCACAUGGCCUGAUGAGGAAAUGGGUUUCUGCUUCGGGAGGGGCUCGCGGCCUAUCAGCUUGCUGGCAGGGGUAAUGGCCUACCAAAGCAACGACGGGUAGCUGGUCUGAGAGGAUGAUCAGCCACACUGGGACUGAGACACGGCCCAGACUCCUACGGGAGGCAGC